rnacentral:rRNA from 1 species
CGUAGGACGCAAGCGUUAUCCGGAGUUACUGGGCGUAAAGCGCGGGCAGGCGGUUCUCCAAGUCUGAUGUGAAAGCGCUCGGCUCAACCGAGCGAUGCCAUUGGAAACUAGAGAACUGGAGUCUGACAGAGGUAGGCGGAAUUCCGGGUGGAGUGGUGAAAUGCGUAGAGAUCCGGAGGAACACCAGAGGCGAAGGCGGCCUACUGGGUCAGUACUGACGCUGAGCCGCGAAAGCCAGGGGAGCGAACGGGAUUAGAAACCCCGGUAGUCCUGGCCGUAAACGAUGUGUGCUGGGUGGUGGGGGGGUUUCCCUUCACUGCCGAAGCCAACGCGAUAAGCACACCGCCUGGGGAGUACGGUCGCAAGGCUA